AAAAACAAAAAAAAACAUAAAAAAGAGAGAGACAACGUCGUCUGGAGAAGGACGAGGCCGAUUUGGUUGGCAGGGACACAACAGAGGCGAUUUUGGAUUUGCAAUUGGCAAAGGGUUUGCAAGGAAAAAUGGUAAAAGUAAGAGCAGAGAGGAUGAAGACAAAAAAAAAGCAGAGUGGGAAUCAGAGGAGGGGAAUGGACUUGGAUAGCAAGACGGAGAAUCAGUGAAGGCAGGUGUCAACACCCAAUCUCGUCCUGGUGACUAAAUAAAAGGACUUGGUAUUUAUUGUUGUCUUAUUUCAUUUUAUUUUCUUUAAUUUUUUUUUUAUUUUGUUAUUCUUAAUUUUAUUUUACUAUUUUGUUUAGUCUUGUAAAAAAAAAAGAAAAAAAAAUAAAAAAAAAAAGAAGAAAAGAAAAAUAAUUGCAAAGAAAAAGAAAAGAAAAAGAAAAAGAAUAGAAGAGAAAAAGGGAAAAGAAAAAAAAAGAAAGAAGAAAAAAUGAAAAAGAAAAACAAAAAAGGAAGGAGGAAACAAAAGAAAAAAAAAGGUGCACGUGAAUAAAAUGAAAAGAAAAAGAAUGGUGAUUAAACGAGAGAGGUGCUACACGUGACAAAUUGGAUUUGAUUUCCUUGGAAAAAUGCUCAUAAGCAAUUAAUAUUAAUGCAUGAUAAAUCACUUUAGAAUUUAUUUUGGAAUUUUGUUUUAUUUGGUAAUAAUUUGAAUCAACAUUAUGCCAAUAAUUCUAAGCAAUAAUUAAAAAUAAUAUAUUGAUUGUUGCAUUCAGUUUAUUCCUAAAAAGAAAAAUAUAAUUUCCUUUUAAUGGAUAAUAAUAUGACAAUUAUUAUAAUUUGAUUUAUUAGACCAUUUUCUUUCCCCGUUUUGUUAAUUAUCAAUUAAUUCGCCAUUAAGGCAAGAUCACAAUAAUAUUACAAUGUGUGUAUAUAAAUACGCAUUUUGAAGAGAAGAAGGGGGGAGAGGAGAAAAAUCCAAUUUCGGAAAUAGAACAUAAGAGAACAAAGAAAAAAAGUGUGGGACAAAGAGGCAAGUGCAAAGAUGAAUAAACAACUUCCUGUGCAAGCUUUUUGUGGUGCAAGGAGAAGCUUUAAGGCAGCUUCAGAAGGGUGAAGAUCAAUUUCCUGGUUACAUUUCCUUUCCCAUUCUUAUUGGACUUUUUUGUUUUCAUUUUAUUUUCUUUGCUUUUAUUUCUUUAGUUUUGGUAUAUUGUUUUAUUAUUGAUGGUUUGUUGUACUCGGUUUUUGAUAAAAAUACAAAAUAUAACAAUCAUAGAAAGUAAAUAAACAAAAAUGAAAAAGAAAAAAUAAAAAAC
rnacentral:lncRNA from 1 species